rnacentral:rRNA from 1 species
CCCUUAGAUGUUCUGGGCUGCACGCGUGCUACACUGAUAUUUCCAAUAUGUCAUUCUUAUCCGAAAUGGAUUGGGUAAUCAAGUAAUGAAAUUUCAUGCUUGGAAUCGGUAAUUGCAAUUUUAUCGUGAACGAGGAAUUCCUAGUAAGCACUAGUCAUCAGCUAAUGUUGAUUAUGUCCCUGCCCUUUGUACACACCGCCCGUCGCUACUACUGAUUGGGUGUUCAAGUGAGAUGCUUAGACCCUUGUUGCAUGGUUCAUUAUUGUGCUCCGAAAGGAAAAAGUUUCAAGCUUGAGUGUCUAGAGGAAGUAAAAGUCGUAACA